AGUGAACGCUGGCGGUAGGCCUAACACAUGCAAGUCGAACGGCAGCACAGUAAGAGCUUGCUCUUACGGGUGGCGAGUGGCGGACGGGUGAGGAAUACAUCUGAAUCUACUUUUUCGUGGGGGAUAACGUAGGGAAACUUACGCUAAUACCUCAUACGACCUACGGGUGAAAGCAGGGGAUCUUCGGACCUUGCGCGAUUGAAUGAGCCGAUGUCGGAUUAGCUCGUUGGCGGGGUAAAGGCCCACCAAGGCGACGCUCCGUAGCUGGUCUGAGGGGAUGAUCAGCCACACUGGAACUGAGACACGGUCCAGACUCCUACGGGAGGCAGCAGUGGGGAAUAUUGGACAAUGGGCGCAAGCCUGAUCCAGCCAUACCGCGUGGGUGAAGAAGGCCUUCGGGUUGUAAAGCCCUUUUGUUGGGAAAGAAAAGCAGCAGGUUAAUACCCCGCUGUUCUGACGGUACCCAAAGAAUAAGCACCGGCUAACUUCGU
rnacentral:rRNA from 1 species